UUUACAGUACACUGUGAGAGGACAAUUAGUAUAUGUGGUUGGAGAAGUUUCGGUACAUUAGCAAGACUUAGCAGCAGCCUAUAGCACUUUCAAGUUUAGAGAUUGUGUAACAACCGAAACCAGAAAUCUCCCUCAGAAAGAUGAAGACCUACAGCUUGGAUCAAACACAAAGACCGUCUUCUCGAAAAGGCUCAAUGCUCCGUGCUUUACUUUUCAUCAGGAAAACGACUAUGCAUAAAAUUGAUAGAGCCACAGAGGUUUCCUCUUGGACGAGCUCACAAGAAAUUUCAUGGGUAAUCAUGAGCCUCUGAGCCCCGUUAGAACGAAGAAAUCAUCCUAUGCGUCAUGAUUCUCUAUUGAGAACCUUAAAUGUGGCUUGUCCUAGCUUGAAUUUCGACACAGUUCCUUUUUGGUUCGCCCUUCUUGGGCAAACGGGAAGGUAUAUCCAUAUUCAUCACAGUUCCUUAUCAUCCAUAUUAAUAAGUUUCAUUAAUAAGUGUUUUGUCACUGGCCAUAUGGUCCAUGUAUUGUAUACGAUUGGGUAACAACAAUCCCAAAUUUCAUAGAUUCUUAUUCACUAUGUAAACCAAAAACGGCAAUCUUUUUGCGUCAUUAAUUCCACAAUUCUGGUAAUGAAAAAGUUGAAGGAGUCUUUUUCUAUCCGUUUGAAGUUUCUAGUCUACCAAGUUUUUAACAAGUAUACAAUGUGUUGUAUUUAAAUGUAAAAGAUGCUCUAUCC